rnacentral:lncRNA from 1 species
AGUUGCUUUAUGACGCCGGGCGCGUGCGCAUUUAAAACAAUUCUCGAAAGAAAUGUUCACAAAUUAGUUUAAAUUCGAAAACGUUUCGGUAUGGACGCAAGAAAAAGGAAUUCUAAGAAAUAGAAAUUCUAAGCGAAACAACAACGAAAAAGGAAAAUAAUUUAAAUAGGGAUAAUAAUAUACAAAAACAUAACAACAAAAACACAACGGUAUUAAGGAAUCUGUUUCAGAAUUUCAGUGAGUUAAAUCUGUUAAAAAGUUCUGCGGUUAAUUUGUUUGUUUCUUUAACAAAAAACGUAAUCUAAUAUUUUAAUUAUUAUCAUCAGCUCAGCAGCAGUGUAGAAUAUAUUGGCCUAAAAUACUAGAUAUUUUAUGUUAAUAUAUUAAAUUCGAGUGACUUACGUCACCCAAGAUUUUGUACAUUUUCAAGCGGUAAGUGUUAAGUCAGCGCGUUCGUAUUUAUGGGACAUUGGAGAUUUGUACAUGGAUGCUAGUGGGGGAACGGCUAUUAAAAUUUCGCUGACUGGUUGGGUGUCAAGUUCGCAAGACUGAAGUUUCGAUGACUAAGGGUAUCCUCCUACUGUUUUGGAAUUGUUUAUGCUGGAUUGUAUUUUAUGUUAAUGUGUGGAAUUUGGUUGGGUCACUUUUCUCGAUGUGGUUCGAUUGAAGUUUUCAACCUAGUUUUAGUAAUUGUAGUUUCAUAUAGAAUAGGCAGGCUAUAACUUUAUAUUGUUUCGAGAAAUGCGGA